rnacentral:tRNA from 1 species
CAUCUUUGAGUCAAUAUACUUAACAAAAAUAUAUACGAGACAUAAAAAUCUCCUCAAAAUAA